UGUGGGUAUAAUGCAAAAAGAUUGAUUCACUCUUAUGUCUGUACGCUAAAUACGUAGCUGCAGCAAGCAGC